UUUUUUUUUUUUUUUUUUUUUUUUUUUUUCAUUCCCCGGGGUGCAACAUUGGUUUUUAGAGAAAGAUUUCAAUUUUCAAAGUUUAACUGUUUUCUUACGGUGCGAGUUUCAAAAUUUGUGUUAACGAGGAUGUUGAUUAACGUUAUCUGCUCGUCGUAAUUGACGGUAGAUACUGGGACCAUUCGAAUCCACGAGGAAAGGUGAUUUAAGAAGCAAUUUGUAACGAUAAUUACAGAAAAAGGCGACUGUACAGUGGCGAACGAAAGGAGGAGUUUAAAAGAUGAAGUGAUAAUUCCAGAAUUCGCAAGAACGACGAAUAGACGAUCGAUAAUAAUUUUGAUAUGAAAAUUAUUUUCGUAUAUAUAUGUGCGCAUAUGUACUAAUAUCACGUAGACAGUUAUAAAUUUUCUUUACACGGUCCAUUUUUGAAUUCUAUUUUAAAUUUUCCCUGUUUCUUAGUUUCACGCAUGUUCUGCGAAUAUCUCGAAUUUUACGUACGCUUCAAAUUGUCUUGGUCUUAUUCACUCUCGGUGGAAUGGCCAUUCAUCGCCAUCAGUUGAUUCGAAACAUAUAUUUAAAGCAUAGAGAAAUAUUUCUGUGACUCGAGGUAGAGAGAUAGGAACGAAAGGUCCUUGCGCAGGAAUACACAGAGGGGAUGGUUGUUGUAACGAAAAAAGGUUGAGAACGGUAGGGAAAGAAGCGUUCUUGAAGCCCGCGGGGGGAAUUUACGAUUGGAAGAGCGAGAAGGGUAAUCGGCAGUCGCGAGAUCGUGGAUCAACUUGUUGCCAUUCGUUAAUUAUUACCAUCGAGUCGACUAGAGCGAGGCCCCGUGUUAGUCGUCGGGUCCGGGACCCAGGGACACACGGGGGUGUGGGUAUGCCGAGAGAGGACAGGUCGGCAGCGAAAGAAAGUGGGAGGGGGAGGGGGUACAAGAUCCGGAGGAGCAAAAAAGACGGUUCGAUCGUUAGCAAGGUACAAAUUUCGCCAUUUGCCGCAAUAAACCUUCGAACCCGCUUGUAACUUCUUCUUAUGGGAGGCAUGAGUAAUCGCCUUGUUAGCCCUUAUGGCCUAUAGGCGCUCAUACGCUCGCUCCCCUUGUCCAUGGAAGGGGACAACAGCAACAACAACGACAACGACAACAACGACGACGACGUCGUCGUCGAAGGCAACAACGGCCGACAUGCACGCACAACGAUUGCAAAAAAGAAAAAAAAGAAAAAAGAGAGAAGAAAAGAAAACGAGUAGGAGAGAGAGGCUGAUGGACGAGAGAGGGAGAAACCUGCGACGCGUAUCUAGAGAAGAGAGAGGAGAGCAAAACGAUAGGGGUAUGAAACGCGAAACACACGCGAUAUAUGUACCCCAUCGACACCGAAGUCUGUGUAACGAGCGACGCAAAGGAGCCCGCUCGAUUUCUCGCCAGGUAGUAGAGAAAUCGAGGAGGACCGAGAGAAGAACCCCCGGUGAAUCGGCGGAGAGAAGAGAAGAGAGAGAGCCGAGAGGAGGAAGCGAGUUCGAGGCAUUCGCGUUGUAAGCAAGAAACGAGCAAAAAACGAACGCGCGCCAACCACGCGGACGGAAAACGAAAGAGAGAGGAAGAGAAAGAGAGAGAAGUGGACAGGGGGUGGAAUCACUUUCGUAUUUUCGCGUUUCUUUCCGCCUCUCACGGCCAUGCUACGCCAAAUUUAAUUACCUCGCGCGCCGACUCCGCUCUACCACUUAAUUAGUGACCUAUAAAUUAAAAUAUUCUCCCGCGCGCCGAAGGAAUUUCGCGGAAGGCACAGCGGCGCGACAAGUGUCGCGUUUAUUUCUCUCAAUUCGAGAUCGAUCAUGUUGCAUCAAGUGGAUGGGAUGUUUCAUUGUCAGUGACGGAAUUACGAAGCACCUCGAUGUGUCGUCUCAAAGCUCUUGAAUGUCUUCGUUAGUCUCGGGUCUCGAAAGUUUUGAACAUCUUGUAGAUCUUGAUAGAUCUGUAAGCGAACGAACGUGUUACGUCAAACGGCUUUUUUUUUUUUCUAUCGGUAGCUUUUCAAGAUUUAAGAUUUUCGUGAUUUAACUUUUAUUUCUGAAAACAAUUUUUUCCUGGGGGGAAAAAAAAAAGGUCGUACGAUAAUGAAAACGUCUCUCUGUAAAGACAUUUCGUAUUAUCCUGAAUAAUAACGCACAAUUUUAAAUAAAGAAUUGUAACGUAUAUUGUUAUGAAAAAAAUUUCGAAAAUUAAAAAAAAAAAGUGACACACUUCGUCCAAUAUGAUCAAAUAUUAAUAUAAACUGACGAGUUUCGCAAGUAUUCACGAUAACGUGAAAAAUUACGGUUUCGUAAAGAGGAGUUUGAACAAUACAUACAUUCGCGCGAAGUUCUUUACUCAUUGCAGCUUCGAAGACUAAUUAAUUACGAGGGCACGAGGAGAAAAGAAAAUUUUCAAUUCGACUACGAGAUACGCGCGACACCGAUAUUGAAACUGGCCGAUCGUUCUUCAUCCCCUUUCCCCUUCUCGCGCGCGGGAUAGUUACACUCGAGAUACGGAGAUACUUAUAUACGCAUGUACGCGACUUGGAGGCGCGCGGAUACGUGGACACGCGUGUGCGUAUCCUUGCCUCGCAGUCGCGUGGCUCCAUAUCUUAAGAAGUAGCCAGGGGGGGUCCGGCGAAGGACAGCGAAUGGGGACUAACACUGUUUUAUCGUGUAACCAAUUAAUAACGUUUCCUUGGCCUCUCCUCCCCGUCCCUUUUGCUCCUCGCCUGGCUUUCGCCGAGAAGAAAGAAGAGAUCUCUGCUUAAAGAUACCCGGGCACCGUUCCGGGACCCCCGGAAGGCGAUCUCAAACUCGUAGCUGGUCGAUUCUGCGCCCUACGCGGAAUUUUAUUCGCCCUAUUACACGCUCCCUAUUCCUUGAUCGCGACGAUGAAAGAAAUUACGAUGCGAUUUACGACGUUAUAGUCGCUAUCGGUUUUAUUUAAUAAUUAGUAAUUGAAGUAGAGUUUGAUUUAAUUUAAUUGAAUAAUUAAAAUAAAAAUGAACAGAAAUUUUAAAGCUUAGACGGGAGAGAUGAAUUAAUUGUCUUUCAACACUCUGUUUGAUUUUGUUUAACUAUUUAGCACCCUUCUAGCACCCUUAGUGCCUCGCAGCAACGAUACAUUAUCGUCGACUAUACAGGAAAUAAUAAAGCGAGAAAUAACAAAGACAAUUCUUAUAUUUUUAUUUUAUUUUGAUAAAACUGGGUCUCCUGUAUCUUACUCCUGAAACUUGCGCAAAACUUUAAUGAGAGUGUUUUUACUUGAGAAUUAUAAAUUUCGGAUCUCGUAUUUUAUCUCAUGUUAUACACAUAUACCCGAUAGCAUGAACUUAUAAUAAAGCUACAAUACAUGUAUAUAGACCUGUAAUAUACUUAUAAUAGACCUAAUUCUCGAUUACUUAAAAAGAGGAAAAGAAUAACUAAAGCGAGGGUAAACAAGAGAAAAAGUCGUUACGUUAGAAGGACAGGUGCAUUUUCAAAGGCAAUGAUAGACGCGUGGGGAAGGUGUUAACCUUGUUAAACUACACGCUACAUUGCACAUCCCGGCCCGGUCGUAUCGCUUACAGAUUUGUCUCGUAUCGUCCUGCUGCAAGCGAUCGUUCCAGAGCCCUGUCGCAGCCAGACAUCGUGUCAGUGUGGAAAAUUGCAUAAUUACAAUAGAAUUUACGGUAUAAGUUGUGUUAAAAUCAAUGUUAAUCGCUGUAGCGAAGUGGGGUAUUACAAUAAAUACAUUAUUUUAUGUAAA